UCCUACACCUACCCCUAAACCUACCCAUAACCAUUUCUUUAAACUACCUACUGUUAUAAAUAAAAAGAAUGACAGACAAACAAGCGUAAUCACAAUAAUUUAUUUUUUGCGAAAAUGUCAAAAGUGGUACCAAAAGUAGUUCAAAUGAUGAUGAGUUCCAGUCACAGUCCUCUCUGGCGGUAAUAGUUUUUAUAGGGUACAGAGCAGAAUUUAACUUAUUAAUCCAUGAAAUUAUGAUAAAUCCGGCUUCUCUCCGUGAAGGCGCGCACUCAUUUCAAAUGUCAAUCCACUGAAACACGGCAUGUCGCAAUCUGUGACGAAGCAGGUGAGAACCAAUGAGCGUUCGAUAUCAGUGCCGUAAACCAUGUCGUAACGCUUCUCGAGGGUGGCGCUACUUUCAAAUUUGAAUCAUAACGAGCGCGAGCUUUGACUGUGACGGUCGCUGUUGCUGAGAAUGAAGAUGAAGAUCGAUGGAUAAAGGGCUGAAUUUGGAUCUGUUCCUUACAAACAUAUGGAUUCUAAAGAUUUGGAGUACAGCGAACAAAUAAAAUGGAUGUUAUUUGUGAA